AUUGAACGCUGGCGGCAGGCCUAACACAUGCAAGUCGAGCGAGCGGCGGACGGGUGAGUAAUGUCUGGGAAACUGCCUGAUGGAGGGGGAUAACUACUGGAAACGGUAGCUAAUACCGCAUACCAUCAGAUGUGCCCAGAUGGGAUUGGCUGGUAGGUGGGGUAACGGCUCACCAAGGCGACGUUCCGUAGCUGGUUUGAGAGGACGACCAGCCGCAUUGGGACUGAGACACGGCCCAGACUCCUCCGGGAGGCAGCAGUGGGGAAUUUUGGCAAAUGUGGGAAACCCUGAUCCAGCCAGCCCGCGUGUGCGAUGAAGGCCUUCGGGUUGUAAAGCACUUUUGGCAGGAAAGCGGUACCUGCAGAAUAAGCACCGGCUAACUACGUGCCAGCAGCCGCGGUAAUUC
rnacentral:rRNA from 1 species